rnacentral:lncRNA from 1 species
CCAAUUUGAAAAUAAAAAUAUGAUUGUAGGUUUAGAAAUACUGAUUUUGAGAUGUUUUUGAUAAAUCCAAAAAGGUUUCAUUAGCAGUUGAACAUAAAGGCCUAGGUAGUAGAUGAGAGAUAGAGAUAAAUACACAUUGAGAAUUGUUUUCUUUUAAGGGGUAAUUGAAGAAGUGGGCAUGGGAAAAAACACAUGGUAACAAAGAAAAGAGGAAAGCUAGAAAUAAGUCUUAGAAAACUGUAACAUUAAUGGUAAGAUAUGAGGCUACAAAUAUAUUGGAAUUUUAAAUAAAUCUUAAGUUUUCAAACUUUUAAAUUUUAAUACAGGAUGUAGGACUGCUGUGUAUGGACAUCUUUGCAAAACACCAUUGCUACAGAAAGGGUUGAUAUAAUGUCUGGUUUGGAUCUCCUUGCUUCAUUCUUCAAGAGUCAUGACUCCAGGAAGGCUUUGAGAUUGCCGAAGCCACAGUGUGUAGGAUCUCCUGGGAAAAGGCAGGUAAGGUACCACAUUCUACUUGCAGCAGUGAGAGGAGCUGGAAAGAGAACUUGCCCUUCACCCCAAGAUCAAGCAUGGCAUUCACAGAUCUCUGGGAAAAUGCAAACAUCUAAGAAAAGGAGAUCUCCAUAGAAAGGAUUGCGUGUGAUUCUGGCAGGACUGACAUUGACCUUCACAACAAUUUCAGGGUAGGCUACAUUAAUAUCAGUCUCAGUGCCACUGUUUGGGAAGAGCUUGAUUUACACAAAAGAAAUCAGGCUCCAUCAGGUUCUGCCCCUCCUCCGCAAAAGGUAAUAGUCUCCAGUCUGUUGUCAACUGAGCCACAAGGACAAGAAAUUUUGAUGCCUUCCUUCCCAAAUUCAGCUGUUACUUUGUAGACUCUUAUGAAUGCUGAUGGAAUACAUAAAGAAGAAAGCAAAGUAAUGUAUCACUUUAGAAAACUGACAGAAGAUCAAGUGUUAAUUUGGAAUAGUUGGCAGCAGCUGAUAUGGAAUUAAUGGAAAGUCAGAAAGAAGAAACUUAAAAUAAUUGCUAAUGCACAUGGGCGAGCAAUUAGAGUAUAGAAUGAUUUCUGGAACACAUAUUAUAAAAUUCUUAAAUGUAGAAUGUCAAUAGAGACACUGGAAAUGAGAAGGAUCACUGCCAAGGACAGAUCUAUUGAUCUUGAAGAUCAAAUAGAAAAUGAAAUUUCACAACACAGGGCAAGAAUAAAAAAGAUGGAAUCUUCA